CUGCCGUGGGGGAGGGGAGCCCCGGAGCGGGGCCCGGAAUCCGGCCUCUGGGGACCCUGGAGUCCUGAGCGAACAAUGUGGGGGCCGAGAGGAGCGGAACUGCGUGCGGCGCUGCGCGAGCGGGCAGGCAAUCCCGGGCAGCGUUUGUGUGUGAGAGUGCAAUGGGAGCUCAGUCCCUCCCGCCUCCUCCGCCUCCUCCUCCUCUUCCUCCUCCUCCUCCUCCGUCUCCUCCUCCUCCCUCAAGCACACCCCGUCUCCCAGGCCACAGCAUAGCAACCGAACAUGGCGGCUGCGCAGACGCCGCCAGUCAGCAGCCAGGAACGGCGGUGGCGGCCACUGGAGGCGAUCUCGCGAGAGACGAGGCCAAGCCCCUUCCCCGCCAGCACCGGCUGGAAGAUGUUACACCAGCCCGAGAGCCGGGGGACGCGCAGGUGCGAGGGAGGCCGGACCUGGAUCUGGAUGUAAGAAGUCCAAAAUGGAUUGACAGAGGAGAUGGGAUGAAGAUGGUGGAAUAGAAGGAAUAGAGAUCAACCUCUUUCCUAAAAAUGAUAAAAUCUACAACCGAAUGCUGAGAAAUCUUCAACCAAAUGGACCAAAACCUUUCAAAAAGACAUCCUACUCCAGAAGACAAAGAGGAGGCCACAUCAAGAGUGGUACAAAAUUGAAUUGUUAAAAAUAUCUGACAAUUAGAGAUAGUCUAAAACAGCAAUAAAGUAAAAAUGUUAUCAUACUACAUAUUUUCUUAGUAUUAAGAAAUGGAAUUGCUUAUUCAAAUGAUUUUAAAUCAUUUGCUUAAUAGAAAUAAUUUUUACAUGAUAAGAAUAAAGUAGCAGAAUGA
rnacentral:lncRNA from 1 species